GGGAUGACACAGUAGGAUAAGCUAAGCACACUGUUGGUUAUGUGUGCCCAAGCAUUGAGGCAGUCAAAGUAGGCAAAUCCGCUUUGAUAAUGCUGGGAUGUGAUGGGGAGCGAAAUUUAGUAGCGAAGUAGCUGAUUUCACACUGUCAAGAAAAGUCUCUAUCGAGGUUAAAGGUACCCGUACCGCAAACCGACACAGGUGGGUGAGGAGAGUAUCCUAAGGCCAGCGAGAGAACUGUUGUUAAGGAACUCGGCAAAAUGACCCCGUAACUUAGGGAUAAGGGGUGCCACCAUCAGGUGGCCGCAGAGAAUAGGCCCAAGCGACUGUUUACCAAAAACAUAGGUUUCUGCUAAGUCGCAAGACGAUGUAUAGGAGCUGACGCCUGCCCGGUGCUGGAAGGUUAAGGGGAUCUGUUAGAGCAAUCGAAGCAGUGAACUUAAGCCCCAGUAAACGGCGGCCGUAACUAUAACGGUCCUAAGGUAGCGAAAUUCCUUGUCGGGUAAGUUCCGACCCGCACGAAAGGCGUAACGAUUUGGGCACUGUCUCAACAACAGACUCGGUGAAAUUGUAAUUCCGGUGAAGAUGCCGGAUACCUGCGACAGGACGGAAAGACCCCAUGGAGCUUUACUGUAGCUUGACAUUGGGUCUUGGUACUACAUGUACAGGAUAGGUGGGAGGCUUUGAAACCAGGACGCCAGUUUUGGCGGAGCCAUCCUUGGGAUACCACCCUUGUAGUACUGGGACUCUAACCAUAGGCCAUGAAUCUGGUCUUGGGACACUGUCAGGUGGGCAGUUUGACUGGGGCGGUCGCCUCCCAAAAGGUAACGGAGGCGCUCAAAGGUUCUCUCAGUACGGUCGGAAAUCGUACGUAGAGUGUAAAGGCAAAAGAGAGCUUGAUUGCAAGACAUACAGGUCGAGCAAGGAUGAAAAUCGGACUUAGUGAUCCGGUGGUUCUGCGUGGAAGGGCCAUCGCUCAACGGAUAAAAGCUACCCUGGGGAUAACAGGCUUAUCUCCCCCAAGAGUCCACAUCGACGGGGAGGUUUGGCACCUCGAUGUCGGCUCAUCACAUCCUGGGGCUGUAGUAGGUCCCAAGGGUUGGGCUGUUCGCCCAUUAAAGUGGUACGCG
rnacentral:rRNA from 1 species